UUUGAGGUAAAAAGUGAGUAGCCGAUUUGAGGAAGUGAUCAACCCUUUGGAUAAAAUUAAAUUUGCUUCUUUUUACCCCAAAAACAUUUUACCAUGGGUAAAAAGAAUCUUCUUGGGAUAUAAAAAGAAUCAGAUUUAGAUUUAGCCCAAAGGUUGAUGAUGUAUUUUCCCAAAGAAGGCUGCUCACUAUUUACCCAAG
rnacentral:pre_miRNA from 1 species